rnacentral:rRNA from 1 species
AGAGUUUGAUCAUGGCUCAGGAUGAACGCUGGCGGCGUGCCUAACACAUGCAAGUCGGACGGUCCGCAAGGACAGUGGCGCACGGGUGAGUAACACGUAGCUAACCUGCCCCAGAGAGUGGGAUAACGUUCUGAAAGGAACGCUAAGACCGCGUAAGCUCCCGAUCUGUAGAGGAUUGGGUGAAAAAACUUCGGUUGCUCUGGGAGGGGGCUGCGACCCAUCAGGUAGAUGGUGCGGUAACGGCGCACCAUGCCGACGACGGGUAGGGGACCUGAGAGGGUGAACCCCCACACUGGGACUGAGACACGGCCCAGACUCCUACGGGAGGCAGCAGUGAGGGAUAUUGCACAAUGGGCGCAAGCCUGAUGCAGCGACGCCGCGUGGGUGAUGACGGUUUUCGGAUUGUAAAACCCUUUUCUGGUUGACGAGCAAGGACGGUAGACCAGGAAUAAGUGUCGGCUAACUACGUGCCAGCCGCCGCGGUAAUUC